CACCNGUGGCGAAAGCGGCUCUCUGGUCUGUCACUGACGCUGAGGCUCGGAAGCGUGGGUAGCGAACAGGAUUAGAUACCCUGGUAGUNCACGCCGUAAACGAUGAGUGCUAGGUGUUAGGCCCUUUCCGGGGCUUAGUGCCGGAGCUAACGCAAUAAGCACUCUGCCUGGGGAGUACGACCGCAAGGUUGAAACUCAAAGGAAUUGACGGGGGCCCGCACAAGCGGUGGAGCAUGUGGUUUAAUUCGAAGCAACGCGAAGAACCUUACCAGGUCUUGGCAUCCCGAUGCUAUUCUUAGAGAUAGGAAGUUACUUCGGUACAUCGGAGACAGGUGGUGCAUGGUUGUCGUCAGCUCGUGUCGUGAGAUGUUGGGUUAAGUCCCGCAACGAGCGCAACCCUUAUUGUUAGUUGCCAUCAUUAAGUUGGGCACUCUAGCGAGACUGCCGGUAAUAAACCGGAGGAAGGUGGGGAUGACGUCAAAUCAUCAUGCCCCUUAUGACCUGGGCUACACACGUGCUACAAUGGUCGGUACAACGAGUUGCGAGCCGGUGACGGCAAGCUAAUCUCUGAAAGCCGAUCUCAGUUCGGAUUGGAGGCUGCAACUCGCCUCCAUGAAGUCGGAAUCGCUAGUAAUCGCGGAUCAGCACGCCGCGGUGAAUACGUUCCCGGGCCUUGUACACACCGCCCGUCACACCACGAGAGUUUGUAACACCCGAAGCCGGUGAGGUAACCUUUUAGGGGCCAGCCGCC
rnacentral:rRNA from 1 species